UGAGUAAUCUGCCCUUCACUCUGGGAUAAGCUUCGGAAACGGGGUCUAAUACCGGAUACGACACGCCCACGCAUGUGGUGUGUGCGGAAACUUUUGUGGGUGGGGGAUGUGCUCGCGGCCUAUCAGCUUGUUGGUGGGGUAAUGGCCUACCACGGCUUCGACGGGUAGCCGGCCUGAGAGGGUGACCGGUCACACUGGGACUGAGACACGGCCCAGACUCCUACGGGAG
rnacentral:rRNA from 1 species